UGACAAAAUAAUUUAUCCACAUGGUUUCUGCUGGCCCAGAAUAAAUUAUUCAAUUUUGAAAUAAACUCUGGCGUCGUAUACAAACUCUGCUGGACCACAACAAAUGCUGCGUUAACCAACAAAAACAAACCGAUCGUAUUCCCAUAGGAAGCUCGCAGCUAUUUCGAAACCCCCGACAAAUCACAGGAAUCUCCAUGCUGCUCAUGCUGGAAUCCCCAAGCUCCUCCUGCUGGAAUCCCCAAGCUGCUCUUCUUGGAGUCCCCAAGCUACUACUACUGGAAUCCCCAUGCUGAUCCUACUGGAAUCUGCUCCUACUCCUACUCGAAGCUGCUCCUGUUGGAAUCUCCAAUCUGCUCCUGCUAAAAUCCCCAAGCUGCUUCUGCUAGAAUCCCCAAGCUGCUUGUCCUGGAGUCCCAAAACUGCUCCUACUGGAAUCCCCAAGCUGCUCCUACUGGAUUCCCACGGAAAUCUUCAAGCGGGACAUAUAGGAAGUUUUCAACGAUUGCCAAAGGAUUCCCCAGCGAAUUCGACAGGAUAGCCCAGCGAUUCCGACAGAGACCCCCAGCCAUUCCGACAGGAAUACCCCAGCGUUUCCCACAGAAAUCCCCAUGCGGCUCCAUAGGAAGCUCCCACUGAUUUCCAAAAUAUUUCGACAAUAAUUUCCCAAUGGUUCCCACAGAACACCCCAGCAAUUCACGUAGGAAUCUCCAAGUAGUUCCAACUGGGAUCCUCUAGCGAUUCACGCCAGAGUCCUCAAGCAGGGAUUCAUCAGUGAUUCAAAAAAAAAACACCCCAACGACACAGCUGUUCCUACACGGAUGCCCCAGCGAUUUCGGCGGGAAUACCCCAGCGAUUCUGACAGAAACACCGCAGCAACUUCGACAAGGAUCCCUCAGUAAUUCCAACAGAAUAACGGCGAUUCACACAGGAAUCCCCAAGCAGUACCAACGGUAUCACCAAGCGAUUUCGACAGGAGUACCCCAGAGAAUCCGACAAGAACACCCCAAGCAGUUCCAGCUGGGAUCCCCUAGCGAUUCCGACAGGAACACCUUAGCAAUUCACAUAGGAAUCCAUAAACGAUUCCCACAAAAGUUCCCAGGAAUUUCCAAAAAAGAGACAUUCCUUGCAUACCCAAUAGAAUCCUCCAUGGAAUCUUAAAAUCCUUUUAGGACUUCUAAAAAAAAUCCCGAAAAAAAAUUUACCGCAGGAAUUCUAUAGGGAUUCCCAAGGAAUCCUCUAGGGAUUUCCACAGGUGCCUAUCGGAUCGAGAACCAUUUUCACCGGGUAUUGUUCGACAUUCUGCCUACGUGUCCGGCCCACUGCAGUCUUCCGAUUUUCAUGGUGUGAACGAUGGAUGGUUCUCCCAACAGUUGUUCCCACAGGAAUCCUCCAGGGACUCCCACAUGAAUGCUCCAGGAAAUUUCCACCAGAAUCCUUCAGGGAUUCCCACAGGAAUCCUCCAAAGAUUCCCGCUGGAAUCUUCCAGGGACUUCUACAGGAAUCCUCCAGUGAUUUCCAUAGGAAUCCUCCAGGGAUUCCCACAUAAAUCCUUUAGUUUCCCACAGGAAUCCUCCGCAGAUUACCACAGGAAUUCUCCACGGAUUUUUACAGAAAUCCCCAAGCGGUUCCCAAUGGGAUCCUCUAAACGAUUCCGAAAAUAAUCUACGAACCCCAGCGAUUUCCACGUAAAUCCACAGCUCCCACUGACUUCCAAAGGAUUCCCCAGCGAUUUCGACUAUAAUAAGCCAACGGUUCCCACAGAACAUCCCAGAACACGUCGGAAUCUCCAAGCAGUUCCAACUGGGAUCCCCUAGCAACUCAUGCCAGAAUUCUCAAGCAGUACCUAUAGGGAUUCAACAGCGAUUCUGACAGGAACACCCCAGCGAUUUCGACAAGGAUCCCUCAGUAAUUCUAACAGAAUAAUCCAGCGAUUCCGACAGGAAUCCCCAAGCAGUCCAAACGAUGAUUCUGUCAGGAACACCCCAGCCAUUCCCCCAAGAACAACUAGCAAUAAAUAGCAUUUCCCACAGGUAUCCCCAAGCGAUUUCGAAAUGAGUAACCCAGAGAUUCUGUCAAGAACAGGCCAAGCAGUUCCAGCUGGGAUCCCCUAGCGAUUCCGACAGGAAUUCCCUCAGAAUUUCUCAUAGAAAUCCAUGAGCGAUUCCCACAAAAGUUCCCAGGAAUUCCCAAGAAAGAGACAUUCCUUGCCUACCCAACAGAAUCCUCCAUGGAAUCUUAGAAUCCUCUUCGGACGUCUAAAAAAUCCCGAGAAGAUUUACCGCAGGAAUUCUUCAGGGAUUCCCAAGGAGUCCUCUAGGGAUUCCCACAGGAAUUCUCCAGGGAUUCCCACAGGAAAAAAUCCUGUAGGAAUUCUUGGAAGAUUCCUGUGGGAAUCCCUGGAGGAUUCCUGAGGGAAUCCCCGGAAGAUUCCUGAGGGAAUCCCCAAAGGAUUCCUGAGGGAAUUCCCGAGGGAAUCGCUGGAGGAUUCCUGAGGGAAUUCCUGUGGUAAUCCCUGGAGGAUUCAUGUGAAAAACCCUAACGGAUUCCUGUGGGAAACCCUGACGGAUUCAUGUGGGAAUCGAUGGUGGAUUCCUGUGGGAAUCUAAAAGAUUCCUGUAGGAAUCCCUGGAGGAUUCCUAUGGGAGUCUCUUGGGAAUUCCUGGAGAAUUCCUGUGAAAAUCACUGGAGGAUUCCUAUGGGACUCCCUGGAGGAUUCCUAUGGGAUUCCCUGGAGGAUUCCUGUGGGAAUCUAAAGGAUUUCUGUGGGAUUCCUUGGAGGAUUCCUGUCGGAAUA